GACGAACGCUGGCGGCGUGCUUAACACAUGCAAGUCGAACGAAGUGGCGAACGGGUGAGUAACGCGUAAUCAACCUGCCCUUCAGAGGGGGACAACAGUUGGAAACGACUGCUCAUACCGCAUACUGAAGGAGGGGAUUGCGUCUGAUUAGCUAGUUGGGGGGGUAACGGCCCACCAAGGCGAUGAUCAGUGGCCGGUCUGGGAGGGUGAACGGGCACAUUGGGACUGGGACACGGCCCAGGAUCCUACGGGAGGCAGCAAUGGGGAAACUUCCGCAAUGGACGAAAGUCUGACGGAGCAACGCCGCGUGGGUGGUGACGGCCUUCGGGUUGUAAAGCUCUGUUGAUCAGAACACGGUACCGGAAUAGAAAGCCACGGCUAACUACGUGCCAGCCGCCGCGGUAAUUC
rnacentral:rRNA from 1 species